rnacentral:rRNA from 1 species
UACCAGCACCCCGAGUGGUCGGGACGAUUAUUGGGCCUAAAGCAUCCGUAGCCGGUCAUGCAAGUCUUCCGUUAAAUCCAGCCGCUCAACGGUUGGGCUGCGGAGGAUACUACGUGGCUAGGAGGCGGGAGAGGCAAGCGGUACUCAGUGGGUAGGGGUAAAAUCCUUUGAUCCAUUGAAGACCACCAGUGGCGAAGGCGGCUUGCCAGAACGCGCUCGACGGUGAGGGAUGAAAGCUAGGGGAGCGAAUGGG